rnacentral:rRNA from 1 species
AGAGUUUGAUCUGGCUCAGAUUGAACGCUGGCGGCAGGCUUAACACAUGCAAGUCGAGCGGUAACAGUCCUUCGGGAGCUGACGAGCGGCGAACGGGUGAGUAACGCGUAGGAAUCUACCUGAUAGAGGGGGAUAGCCCGGGGAAACUCGGAUUAAUACCGCAUACGCCCUACGGGGGAAAGCAGGGGAUCUUCGGACCUUGCGCUAUCAGAUGAGCCUGCGUCGGAUUAGCUAGUUGGUAGGGUAAAGGCCUACCAAGGCGACGAUCCGUAGCUGGUCUGAGAGGAUGAUCAGCCACACUGGAACUGAGACACGGUCCAGACUCCUACGGGAGGCAGCAGUGGGGAAUAUUGGACAAUGGGGGAAACCCUGAUCCAGCCAUGCCGCGUGUGUGAAGAAGGCCUUCGGGUUGUAAAGCACUUUCAGUAGGGAGGAAAGGGUGAUGGCUAACAUCCAUCAUCAUUGACGUUACCUACAGAAGCAGCACCGGCUAACUUCGUGCCAGCAGCCGCGGUAAUACGAAGGGUGCAAGCGUUAAUCGGAAUUACUGGGCGUAAAGCGCGCGUAGGCGGUUUGAUAAGUGAGAUGUGAAAUCCCCGGGCUCAACCUGGGAACUGCAUCUCAUACUGUCAGGCUAGAGUACGGUAGAGGGGGGUAGAAUUCCACGUGUAGCGGUGAAAUGCGUAGAGAUGUGGAGGAAUACCAGUGGCGAAGGCGGCCCCCUGGAUCGAUACUGACGCUGAGGUGCGAAAGCGUGGGGAGCAAACANGAUUAGAUACCCUGGUAGUCCACGCGGUAAACGAUGUCAACUAGCCGUUGGAAGGGUAAUCCUUUUAGUGGCGCAGCUAACGCACUA